rnacentral:rRNA from 1 species
GGAUGCGAUCAUACCAGCACUAAAGCACCGGAUCCCAUCGGAACUCCGAAGUUAAGCGUGCGUGGGCGAGAGUAGUACUAGGAUGGGUGACCUCCUGGGAAGUCCUUGUGUUGCAUUUC